rnacentral:rRNA from 2 species
CACGUAGGGGGCGAGCGUUGUCCGGAUUCAUUGGGCGUAAAGGGCGCGCAGGCGGCUCGGAAAGUCGGGUGUGAAAACUCGGGGCUCAACCCCGGGCGUGCAUCCGAUACUGCCGGGCUUGAGGCAGGUAGGGGAGAUCGGAAUUCCUGGUGUAGCGGUGAAAUGCGCAGAUAUCAGGAGGAACACCGGUGGCGAAGGCGGAUCUCUGGGCCUGUCCUGACGCUGAGGCGCGAAAGCUAGGGGAGCGAACAGG